UUCCAACUUUGUCCGACAUUUGAAGUUGCAUAAAGAACGAUUUGAAGAAUACCAGAUGAAAAAGAGGAUCACAAAUGAACCUCAACAGCCUUCCAUAUCACAGUUUAUGGACACUUGUACCGGACAGUACAGCAUGACUCAUCCACAGCAGAAAGCUAUCACGAAUGCAUUAUUAAGUGACUUGAUUAUUGGUUGCAACCUGCCCCUUUCUAUUGUGGAAAACAAGAAUUUUCGGCACUUUCUGACGGUAGUUGACAGAAAAUACAGCCCGGUAUGUCGCAGAACAAUUAUAUCAAAAACAGAGAACCUCGCUGCUGAGAAACGUUCAAUGUUAAAAACUCA